GGCUGGGAGAAUGUUGGCCACCUGGCUCUGAGAACUGAAUUCCAUAGGCUGUGAACUUGAGCAAAUGGCCUAGGGACUCAGUUCUGGUGCCCGGCUGUGCUGUACCAUC
ensembl:miRNA microRNA 146b